ACCAAGAGGCAGAUACCCAGCUGAGCCACCCAGGCUCCCCAUCGACGGAUUCGGAUUCCACAUGCGGUUCAGGCUGGCACUGUGUAGAAAUACCAGUCAAAUAUACUCUGGGAACCAUGUUUGGGUGGCAGGCCCCGGGGGUCCUGAGUGGGAGGCAUCGAAAGACCCAAGCUUGCCCCGGUGUCUGCGGCCCGAGUGCAGAUUCCAUCUGCUGUCAGAGCCCACGGCCUGACCUGGCCAUGGAUGCCACCCCCUCCCAGCCAGCCAGCAACUUUGCCACCUUGCCAGAUGUCCCAUGCCGCACUCCAGACACAAAAUGACAAUGAGACGCUCUCUCCCAUGAAGGCUGCCCAGGGUCCGUCUUCCCCAGCAUGGAUGCACUGCAUCCGAAGUGCAAACGGAUGGGACUUGGAGCCAGAAAAUCCUGGCUCUGGACCUUCAUGUCUCACCUGUAAAGGAGCUUUUUUUAUUUGCCAA